CUUUCCCUAUUUUUGAAUGUAACUUAUAAGGCUGUUCAACUGGCAAGAAUACCGCCAGAGACAUAUAUACAUGUCUCUGAUACCGCUAAAGCGAACAAGCAGUUUAUUCUUUAAAUUGCUAUCAUAUCACGGCAAGAAAGAAAAUAAAUCCCGAAAUUGAUUUGAAACUUUAAUACUCAAUAGUUUUCCUAGAAAAUACUCACACCCCUUGGGAUUAUUAGUUGUACGUCCAGUUGCAUAUAUUUUACAUGAAUGUCGGAACAAUUGUGAUGAUGACGAAUUUCUUCCUUUAUUCGAGAACAAUCUAAUUGAUACAUAAAACUGGGAUUUUACUAUGUUCAUAACUUCGAUGAACCAAAGCAAGAUAUAUAUCGACCUGUAUUUAAAUCAAACUGGUUCUCUUCUCUUCUUCUUCUUCUUCUUCUUUUGGUAUACAAUAUAGUCUGAUACAUGUAUAUAUUUUAAAUUGCACUAUAGUUCCGUAACUUUCUAUCCAGGCGUAUAAGCCAACAUCGACAAGUGCGUACAUUUUUUAAAUCAAUAUUUUUGGUAUGUACCAGUCUGUCCUUUACUAUAAUUGACAAAUUACAUUUUCCCAAAUUAACCCUCGGAAAAAAUAUGUAUAUAGAUUUUUAUUUCUUCAAAUCUUUUUUUUUUUUUUUUUGUGGUAUUUUUUUAUAUUUUCAUAAAUAAUAUUCUUUACACCAGAAAUGUUAUUUAUAAACAAGCGUACGAGUUAAAUUAUUGGCAUCAUAUCACUUUCGGACACACAAGACAGAGAUGUGUAUUAUACACCUGAUAGUUCAAAAUGGAAAGUUAUAAGUCUGCCGUGUACACUGAUCAAUACCUACAGAAGUGAAACGAUGCAUGAACUUGCAAGCCCGACAGGAAAUCGCUUGAAUACCCGGACGUGUCACCUGAGUCCUCACACCCCUCACAAUACCUUUGGGAGUAAUACCUUUAGCCAUGCUGGUGAUCAGAUGAGGAAAGAUCCGAAUUUAUUUGAAUAAAGUUUAUUACUUUAAAGAAUUAUGAACGAAUUAGAUUUUUGAAAACAAUUUUCACGGAACACUUAUUUAUUAUUUGAACUGUGACUCUUUAACUAAUUCCAAUAUUAACAGUUUAAAAAUAACAGAUAUAUAAUAAUGGUCAUUUAAAAAAAAAUAAGAACAUUUUCCGUAUCAAGUUUAUAGUUAGUCAGAUAAAACAAUCGUACGAUUGACAAGAUAUCGACACGCAAUUACGACUACAUCGGUUACUGUAGUUUUGGUCCUUUGUGUUUUAUAGACAUAUCGUGAUUAUAAUCGUAGAAGAUGACAAGAUGGCGGAGCGUAGAAAAUUGAUACUCAAAUUUUAAAAUCGAUGUUGAUCUCUUAUCUAGCGG
rnacentral:lncRNA from 1 species